GACGAACGCUGGCGGCGUGCCUAAUACAUGCCAGUUGAGCGAUGAAGAUUGGUGCUUGCACCAAUUUGAAGAGCAGCGAACGGGUGAGUAACGCGUGGGGAAUCUGCCUUUGAGCGGGGGACAACAUUUGGAAACGAAUGCUAAUACCGCAUAACAACUUUAAACAUAAGUUUUAAGUUUGAAAGAUGCAAUUGCAUCACUCAAAGAUGAUCCCGCGUUGUAUUAGCUAGUUGGUGAGGUAAAGGCUCACCAAGGCGAUGAUACAUAGCCGACCUGAGAGGGUGAUCGGCCACAUUGGGACUGAGACACGGCCCAAACUCCUACGGGAGGCAGCAGUAGGGAAUCUUCGGCAAUGGACGAAAGUCUGACCGAGCAACGCCGCGUGAGUGAAGAAGGUUUUCGGAUCGUAAACCUCUGUUGGUAGAGAAGAACGUUGGUGAGAGUGGAAAGCUCAUCAAGUGACGGUAACUACCCAGAAAGGGACGGCUAACUACGUG
rnacentral:rRNA from 1 species